CGGUGGGACUUGACCCGGUUUCAUUUCAGUUUGGGUUUAAUCACCGCGGGUGGUCGGGGCGGGUCAGGGUCUCACAC
ensembl:miRNA